UAACCCUCAUAGAUAGAUCAUUAGCUUGCUAGGUACCUACUGAGUUUUAGGCACUUUUAAGGAAUAGGCAGAUGUCCCAAACUCAAGUUUUUACAGGGCUGGGAGGGGAGCAUGGAUGAGGACAGGCAGCCAGGUAAGAGCUGUGGGACUCUGGAGAGCACGUGCCAUGUCUGAAGCAACAGCAGAUGUUGUCAAGGAAAAGGUGGGCUCAUGGCUGUCUGAGUGGUCUCGCAGGAAAUGCCACAAAUCUGUAUUUUUAUGCAUAAUCUCUUAUGUUUUGAAUACUGAUGAGUAAUUCCAACUUUUAAAACAAGGCAACAUGGCCCAAGUAAGAUGAGACUGUCUCAUUGUUGUGACCCUAGAGUCUCCAGUUUGUAAUCUCAGACACUGGGUCUUUAUUGCUACUUUCAGCAGCCUGCAAUCUAUAAGAAGGAGAGUGGUGUGGUCAGAAAGUCUAUGCAAGAGGUGCUCAGAAUAUAG
rnacentral:lncRNA from 10 species